rnacentral:rRNA from 1 species
GAUGAACGCUGGCGGCGUGCUUAACACAUGCAAGUCGAACGGUGAAGCCCAGCUUGCUGGGUGGAUCAGUGGCGGACGGGUGAGUAACACGUGAGCAACCUGCCCCGGACUCUGGGAUAAGCGCUGGAAACGGCGUCUAAUACUGGAUAUGAGCUGCGAAGGCAUCUUCAGCAGCUGGAAAGAUUUUUUGGUCUGGGAUGGGCUCGCGGCCUAUCAGCUAGUUGGUGAGGUAACGGCUCACCAAGGCGUCGACGGGUAGCCGGCCUGAGAGGGUGACCGGCCACACUGGGACUGAGACACGGCCCAGACUCCUACGGGAGGCAGCAGUGGGGAAUAUUGCACAAUGGGCGCAAGCCUGAUGCAGCAACGCCGCGUGAGGGAUGACGGCCUUCGGGUUGUAAACCUCUUUUAGCAAGGAAGAAGCGAAAGUGACGGUACUUGCAGAAAAAGCGCCGGCUAACUACGUGCCAGCAGCCGCCGUAAGAC